rnacentral:rRNA from 1 species
AGGGUUCGAUUAUGGCUCAGGACGAACGCUGGCGGCGUGCUUAACACAUGCAAGUCAAGGAGAACAUUUUCUUCGGAAAAUUAUUAAACUGGCGAACGGGUGAGUAACACGUAGGUAACCUACCUUGAAGAUUGGGAUAACUCCGGGAAACCGGAGCUAAUACCGAAUAAUGCAACGAAUCCUUUGGGAUAUGUUGUUAAAGCGGGCUUCGGCUCGCACUUCGAGAUGGGCCUGCGACCGAUUAGCUUGUUGGUGAGGUAAUGGCUCACCAAGGCAAUGAUCGGUAGCUGGUCUGAGAGGAUGAUCAGCCACACUGGGAUUGAGAUACGGCCCAGACUCCUACGGGAGGCAGCAGUGGGGAAUUUUGCGCAAUGGACGAAAGUCUGACGCAGCAACGCCGCGUGAUUGAUGAAGCUUUUAGGAGUGUAAAGAUCUGUCGUGAGGGAAGAAAAAUCUGGAUGUAAAUAAUGUUCAGACGUGACGGUACCUCACAAGAAAGCACCGGCUAACUUCGUGCCAGCA